ACAAAGGCUCUUUUUAGAGCCACUCACUUUAUUGGAAGGAUGUG
rfam:Mus musculus chromosome 13, GRC primary reference assembly.